ensembl:lncRNA
UUUAAAUCAUCAAUAUCAUGCAUAUGCCUGAUGCGACCUGGCGUUUUUUACAAAGCAUGAAUAACUGAAUAUCAAAGACAUUCAAAGAGCAAAUGACAAUGUUCUCUUUGCCACAGCAAUGUUUCAAGAGUUAAAGAUUUAAUCAAAAGUUAAAGAUGUAAUCUACUUUUAACCCUUGAUGUCUUCCAGAUCCACAUAUAAGUAUAUUCACUGAAAUUUACAGUGACUGUUCCUGUACUAGAAAGACCUGCUGUCCAAAACAUUAGACCACACAUGAAAGUUUUUGCAAUUUUUUUAACAAAAUGCAGAGCUAAAAUGCAGCAUGGAUAGAAGUUAAAAGUAACAGCAUAUUCAUAUAACUUGAAUACGGCUGGAGGUUUUUCAAUUAUUGUUAUUUUUCUUUUUAAAUAAAUUUUUGUUGUAUUAUUGUAUGUUUAAACUGCAUUUUUAAUGUAUUUAAAAAAUAAAUUAAUAGAUGGAACAAAUAUAUUACCAUGUUCAUGUUCCAGUUCCAUUCGAUUUUCAUAUGGUUAAAACUUUAGAAACAGCAUUUACACUCUCAACAUGGUCAUAUAUAUUUUUGAUUAUUAUCAUAAUCAAUAUUAUUUAUUAAUAGCAAAUCAUAUCAAAGUCUUAUGUGUUUUUAAACAGUUUUACAUUACUUGAAAAAAUAACAACAUGGUAAUACAUUAACAGCAAUUAUGUGUGUGUGUGUGUGUGUGUGACAUUUUUGUGUAAAUAGCCAGCUGACCUUUUUUAUCAGUAUUGUUUUACCCUGAUUAUAUACAUGCCUCACUUUAGGAGCUCAAGGGCAUCAAAGGAGAGGCCACCUCUGUUGCUGCUGGACAGUGUUGCUUAGGAAAAAAAUAAAAAAAAAUAAGACUCAUUUACACACACUUAAUCUCAUACGGUUCCUCUUAGAAACAGCCCAUGUGCCAUCUCUUGUUUUGUGAAAGGUAACAGAACAAUCUAUCCCAGGCUUGCAGGGCUGGUUGGAGAGAUAAUUUGUGGUUCGAGAGCACUGUCAAUCACGGGACCAGGAAAACUGUCAGCACGCUGUGGAGUGGAUUCUCUUAUCAAAGGAGGCAACUGGAAACAAGAAAUAGUUAACAUGCAGCUCAGUGGCACGCAUGAAAAGAGGCAGCGUGCAGUCUCCAGGGACUCGCUGUGGGGACGAACCAGUAGAGCAGAACUGUCCUAUAGCAUCAACCACAGACGACUCCAAACCAUCCUCCAUCUGGGGUCAGUAGGAUCUUCCCCCUCACAUACAAACAUCAAGACCACUGCCGCUUCCUGCACUGACUCGCCUCAGCUGGAGUGAUUCACUCUCUCACCCUGUCGACCCUCACCAGCAUAUGGGUGUCGAGAGACAUGACAGACUGUGUUAAGAUUACCCCACCAAUGAACGAGAUAAUGCUUGACCCAAGAGCCCAUGAGAGUGCAUGCGAAAGACUAAGACGAUGUAAUAAACGGGUUGAUGAACAGGCUUCGCAUUUCCCAGCAGCCAUUGUGGGGAGCAAAUGCAUGCUGGUAGUGGGAUGAAGCUACAAAUGUUAAUGCAGACAAAAACAAUGAGGCUGGACAUUGAAGAAUUAAUUUACCAAACACUCUGAAACCUCUGACCGCUUUGUCACAUGGUUAAAUGCAUCCUGUCACCCUAAAAAAAACUUUCAACCACUUAAACUUAAACGUAAACAUCCACAUACACACACUUCAUAUUUAAUUGUAUUAAUGCUACUCAACAAUCUUUCCUAACUUAUUGGAGGGGAAAGGAAUAUCAUCUUUAUCUGACAAUUAGUUA